UUUAAGCAGAAAUGAGGAUACAGAAGAAUUAAUGCUAUCAAAAGACUUUUCAUCUGGCUACUGUGAAAUUUACUAAAGGAAAUAUUUCUGUGAGACUUUCGUAAAGGAGCAUCUUAAGGAACCAAUAUAUUGCUACUUGCUGUUAGAAAAUCUAUGGGACAAUGCUGCAGAUGCAGAAGAAGACACUUUAUGUUGCUAAGGCUGAAAAGUGCAAAGUUGGCUAUGAGAAGAACAUGAGAGAUUACAACAGA